rnacentral:rRNA from 1 species
AGAGUUUGAUCCUGGCUCAGGAUGAACGCUAGCGGUGUGCUUAAUGCAUGCAAGUCGAACGGGAUCCCAUAGAUUCGUCUUUGGUGAGAGUGGCGGACGGGUGAGUAACGCGUUGGUGACCUGCCUUGGAGAGGGGGACAACCAUUGGAAACGAUGGCUAAUACCCCGGAUGUUAUCGAGUUUAGAAGUUGAUAACUAAAGCUCCGGUGCUCCAAGAGGGGCCAGCGUCCCAUCAGCUUGUUGGUAAGGUAACGGCUUACCAAGGCUAAGGCGGGUAGGGGGCGUGAGAGCGUGACCCCCCACACUGGUACUGAAACACGGACCAGAUACCUACGGGUAGCAGCAGCAAGGAAUAUUGCGCAAUGGGCGAAAGCCUGACGCAGCAACACCGCGUGGAGGAUGAAGGCUUUCGGGUUGUAAACUCCUUUUUCUGGGGGAAGAGAAAGGACGGUACCCCAGGAAUAAGGCCCGGCUAACUACGUGCCAGCAGCCGCGGUAAAACGUAGGGGCCAAGCGUUAUCCGGAAUUACUGGGCGUAAAGCGCAUGCAGGCGGUUUUCUAAGUUGGACGUGAAAGCUCUCGGCUUAACUGGGAGAGGUCGUUCAAUACUGGAAAACUUGAGGAUGGUAGAGGAGAGUGGAAUUCCCGGUGUAGUGGUGAAAUGCGUAGAUAUCGGGAGGAACACCAGAGGCGAAGGCGGCUCUCUGGACCAUUCCUGACGCUCAGAUGCGAAAGCUAGGGGAGAGAACGGGAUUAGAAACCCCGGUAUUCCUGGCCGUAAACGAUGUCAACUAGGUGUAUGAGGUACCCAAUCCUUAUGUGCUGUAGCUAACGCAUUAAGUUGACCGCCUGGGGACUACGGCCGCAAGGCUAAAACUCAAAGGAAUUGACGGGGCCCCGCACAAGCAGCGGAGCGUGUGGUUUAAUUCGAGAUACGCGAAGAACCUUACCAGGGCUUGACAUAUAUGUGGUAGUGAUCUGAAAAGUGAACGACCCUUCGGGGAGCAUAUACAGGUGCUGCAUGGCUGUCGUAAGCUCGUGCCGUGAGGUGUUCGGUUAAGUCCGAUAACGAGCGCAACCCUCGUCGUUAGUUACAAGUGUCUAGCGAGACUGCCGGUGAUAAGCCGGAGGAAGGUGAGGAUGACGUCAAGUCAGCAUGGCCUUUAUGUCCUGGGCUACACACACGCUACAAUGGCCGGUACAGUGGGUCGCGAAGCCGCGAGGUGAAGCCAAUCCCCCAAAGCCGGUCUCAGUUCGGAUUACAGGCUGCAACUCGCCUGUAUGAAGUCGGAGUUGCUAGUAACCGCACGUCAGCACAGUGCGGUGAAUACGUUCCCGGGGCUUGUACACACCGCCCGUCACGUCAUGGAAGUUGGCAACGCCUGAAGUCGGUGGGUUAACCUAACGGAGACAGCCGCCCAAGGCGGGGUUGGUGACUGGGACGAAGUCGUAACAAGGUA